GAGCGGCUGUGGCACGUGGGACCGCGCCGGGGCGAGCCGAGCCGAGCCGAGCCGAGCCGAGCCGAGCCGAGCCGAGCCGAGCCGAGCCGAGCCGAGGAUCCUGUCCCGGACUCGGUCCCGGCCCUGGCUCUCGGCCCGAUCUUUGUCCCGGUCCCGGUCUCGGUCCGCCGCGGGAGGCGGGGCCGCCAGCACGGCGGGCCCGGCCCGGCUCCGCUCACGCCCUCCUUCCCUCCCUGCAGGCCAUGCAGCGGCCCGGGCUGUUCGGGCGGCUCAAGGCCGCGGUCGUCGGGAUGGUGCACGUGGGAGCGCUGCCAGGGACACCAAGAAAUUCUCUUCCACUGACCCAGAUCAUUGAUCAAGCUUGUCAAGAGGCAGAAGUUUACAAGGAUGCUGGAGUUGAUGGGUUGAUCCUGGAGAACAUGCACGAUGUGCCGUACACGGUGCGCCCGGGCCCGGAGGUCACUGCAGCCAUGGCCGUGCUCGGUGCUGCCAUCAGACACAGCUGUCCCCGUGUCCCUCUGGGUGUCCAGGUGCUGUGUGCUGCCAACCAGCAGGCAAUAGCCAUUGCUCUGGCUGCAGGUCUUGAUUUUAUCCGGGCUGAAGGGUUUGUGUUUUCUCAUGUGGCUGAUGAAGGGAUUAUAAAUGCCUGUGCAGGUGACCUGCUGCGAUACCGAAAACACAUUGGAGCAGACAACAUUCAGAUUUUUGCUGAUAUUAAAAAGAAGCAUAGUGCUCACGCCCUGACCGCCGAUGUCAGCGUGGCGCAGACGGCGAGCGCAGCCCAGCUGUUCCUGGCCGACGGCGUGGUGCUCACCGGCACGGCCACCGGGCACCCCGCUGACCCCCGGCAGCUGCAAGAGGUUAAGCAUGCUGUGAAGAUUCCUGUGCUGGUUGGGUCUGGAGUGACUCUGGAGAAUGUCAGCAAUUACUUGGAUGCAGAUGCUCUAAUAAUUGCAAGCACCUGCAGCUUUGUACCUCUCUAGACUAGUAAUAGUGAUGUAAAAAACUUCCUUGGAAUACACAAGGUAUAAUUACAAUAGAAACCUUUCUACCAAAGCCACAGCAUUGCACAGAAGAUGCAGUGAAGGUUGUCCCAACAGGUAUGCACUGUUACAAUUGUUACCAGCUUUGGAAGUUGUUUUCAGUAAACCUGUGAGCUAGAAAGGCUGAUGUGCAAGCAAUGAGCACUGGUGCUCUAGGUGCACAAGAGUAAAAGUCUUUAGUCAGCUGAAAAUUACAACAGAUCUACUGAUAAGGAUUCUUCAGUGGUGAUAGUUGUUUUCAAAGAAACUGGUGCCUGUUGUCAAAAGUCACAUUCACCACUGUGAGUAUAAGAAUUUUGUGUUUGCCAGUAUGUUUCUUGAAUUGGUUUCUACUUACAUCCUAAAAACUCAUAAGUGCCUGAAACUCAAAUGGUUUUUCACCUGAAUAAGAGGAGGGGGUAAGUGAGAACUUCCUCAGUGCUGUAUGCAAGGUCCAGAGGCAGUGAUGUUAUACACAGUAGUUGUUUGAAACAGAAGCCUCAAUGGGUUGGUGUAAUACUCAAAAUAAAGCAGUGAAUACUGUAGACAGCACUUUCACUGCCAGGAUUUCAUGUAACACACUGUGUGAGGAACACCAGCACUUGUGGAAGGAACAGGUCAUAAAUUGGGUCUGUAUUGUUACAUAUGAAAGGUAAGUGCAGGAUUUAGGGAACAGAAAUAAAGGAGAGCUGAUUUUCAAGCCUGAAAAUGUGACUGAUCACCAGCUCUAUGUCAUUCUUUGUGCCAAAAGUAUUUGUCUAGCAGCAUUAAGCAUCUGCUUGUCUGUUUCACACAGAUGCUGUAAGUAGAAUUUGACCUUUUGUUCAGCAAGUAUUUGAAUAUUUAACGUGAAAAUAUUAAGUUAUCAGAAAGGCUGACUUUUGGGAAGACUGUUCAAUUUUUAUACAGCCCAAGUUGUUAAAGUACUUUGGAGCAUGAACAACUUCAGAGCAGAACAAAGCAGCCAGUGCUAAUGUGUAGGAACUCCAGAAGUAAAUAACAGCUGUUCAAGAAGACUUCUAUUAAAUAUGUAUUAAUUAACUUGAAGUGCAUCACUUAAACAUGUGAAGAGAUUAUCUUGUGUUAAUUUACAUUAAAACACACAGCACUUGUUAGCCUCAUUACACCACCCUAAGUAUAUCCUAAGCUAUCACCUCAUCUUACACUGAGCGUUUUGUUGGGUGUUGAUUGCUUUCGAUUUGCCCUUUUAAAAUGUCAGAUAGUGGCCUCCUUUUCUUGUUGGAUCUCUUCUCUCUCUCAGGUUUUGCUCUUGCAUAGUAACUGUUCUUACUUGUGUCUGUUCUGUGCUGAGCAGAAAGAAAAAUAACAAUAGGUUGUGAAAAUAUAAUAGUAAUUGUCCCCCCAGACUUCACAGGUGGAUCCUGCUGUUAACCUGUGCACCAGCAGAGAAUGUAAGUGUCCAUUUGUAUAGGAAAAUUAUUUUGUUUGAAGAUUCAGUAUCACCUUUGGACCAAGAAAGAUAAAUAGUGAAAUUAUAGAUGAAUAAAACACUGUGCUAAUAAUAGUGGUCUAAAUCAGUAUGUCAGUCUUCAUAAACUCUCAUUCCAUCCACAAAACAAGUAUUUAGGUAAAUAUAAGUAAAAACCCAUCUUUCUAUUUUGGUGCUGAAAAUAUAUAAACUUACAAGAUUUUAUUUAGUGUCAUUUUAGCAGCAGAUCCAGCUGCUGGGCUGUUCUUUGAUCCAGCAUUUUGAUUCCACAGACUCCCUGAUCACAAGCUGGGAGUCCAGUUCUUUUUCUCACACCUAUCCCAGCACACUCCUCACUAGGGGGAGACUGAGGAAUGUGAGAACUCUCAGGCAGGCCCUGGCAGAGCAGGAAGGGCAAAUGAAACCAAAAUAUUUGGCUUUAGCAGAACCUUGAAGUCCUGGACAAGUUGCUCCAUUGCAUGGCUCUCCUCAGGGAAGUGAGUGGGGCUGUUUGCUCUACUUUCAGGUUGUUUGCAGCCUCUUCAGUUAAGACUGUGAAUUUGCACCUAGGUUUUGUUCCCAAGAUUGUCUUUGCUGUAUUUGUGCUUAGGGUGACAUUUUUCUCAAGUGAAAGCUAGUUUCCAAGGUAAUUAUGGCAAUAUGGGAAGUGCUGCCUGUAGAGAAAUCCAGGCUUGGAAUUCACAGCCCUUGGUUCAAGAGCAGAUUUAGAUACAUGCAUCUUCAAAAAACCCUUUCAAUGUGACUUAAAUUAAACCUUCACUGACUGUGCCCUGACAUCCAGGCAGUGUUUGCUGUGCUGAGGAAGUUGAGCUUAGGAACAGAACUGACUGUGGCUUUUUUGUUGUGCUUAUCAGUGACCUAAAGGAUGUAUUUUUCAGAAAGGGUGGAGAACUGGGCUGAGAUACUGUUUUUGUGGGCUGAAAUGCCAUGGUGGGUGUAGUAGAACUGACCACCCCUGCACUGAAGAUGCUUUUCCUAAUACCCAACCUAAACCUCCCCUGGUGCAGCCAAACUAAAAUGCCAGGUGGUCUCCAGUGAAAUCUUGAGAGUAGUAGAUGCUUUUUCACCCUAAUCUUUAAAAACACAGAAAAUUAAAGGUGGAAAAAAUCUCUGCAAUGCAAACAGGAAAGCCUUUCACAUGAGGUAAAAGGGUUGCAAUUCCCAACAUAAUCUGGUUCUUUGCUUACAGUUAGAAGCUUUAGAAGUAGUAGAGCUAAGGAGAGCCUGAGAUGUUUCUUGUUAAACACUUAAGGAUAGGAAAAAAAUGUGUGAGGGUAAUUAUCUUGAUUAAAAAAAUUGAUCAUCUUAAAUAGGUAUUUUUCAAGGUGCUAAAAAGGGAUUUUGCUGAUUUGGGCUGAAACUGCUACUCUCUAUCUAUGUUUAACUCCUCUCUUUCCUGUCACUCAAAUUUUUGUUUCAUGAAGUAAAUUCAGUGUCAGCAGCAAAUGUUAGUGUUUUAUAAUUUCUUUUUUAAAAGGAUGUCACUCCUUUAAAAAUGAGUGAUCAGUGAAUGGGACAGAGAUGCUGUUUGGUGCAUGGGUUACUGGGUGUUUUGUAUAUUAAAAUGCAGUUUCUCCCUCUGUCCUAUCAUCUGUGCAAAGGGAGAUGGAAUAUUCAGUGUAGAGAGUAGGAGCUGCUGAAUUGGUGGGUAUUUAGGACCUUUUUAUUACUCAGUGAACAACAUUAAUUGUAAAAAAAGAUUAUACAUCUAAAUUUGGCAAAUCUGAUAUGAAACCAAGUGUUCAGGAUAGUGGUUGAACUCAGAAUUGUUUGACUUUGUGCCUGGUCACUGUGUUAGAUGUGCUGUGUCAUAUUGCUUCAGAAAGAUGUCACAAAACAGAACACUGAAAUCAUGUUUCAUGCAAAUGCAGGAGGAAUCCUAAAUUCAGCAGUAAACAAAAAUGAAAAGGAAGGCAGCACAAUAAGGGCAAGAAAAGAUGCUUAAGUUUCCCACAGUUCCUGCCUCAUUGUUUAUUCCAGCUUCCUGUUUUUUCAGUCUGCUUCUCAAGCCUUUCUUGUGCAUAUACACAGAUUAUAGAAUGCACAAGAAUAAGCUGAAGGCAGAAACUGACUUAAUGAAGACAUUCUUGUGAGAGAGAAAAGAUUUUGUUGUCCACAGAUGCGCAAAGAAAAACAGAAAAGCAGCUGCCCUUAGAAAUGGAGUAAAAGUAGAGCUGAGUGCCACGUCAUGGUGCUUUACUCAAAAUCUGGUGUGUUCAAAGUCUUUGAGAGCUUCUGUACUGUUGUGCAGGGAUGUAACCAAGAGGUGGAACAAGCAGCUUUUGUAAGUCUCAUGUCUUAGAUACUGUCCUGAGCAGUGCUGACUCUUUACCAGUUUUCAGAUGGCAAAUAAGGUUAAAAGGAAACAGCUUUCAUAACUCUGGUAUGGAUGACACUGUUACUAUUCAGUUUUGUGUCAAAAACUUCUCUUUCCUUAAGACCAAGCUAUUGAGAGAGUCAUGUGCUAUCAUCCUCUUCUUCAGAGGAGGAUUCUGAAGGGCAGAGGUCCUCAGCUCACUAGUUCCCAUCUCUGUGGGAAAUUAGCUUGUCUUUUCUGAAACCUUUGAGGGCAGGGACAGUAUAAAUGGUGAAAAAAAAAUGUGUGGCAAGUGGGUGGGGAGGUGAGAUGAAGUGGAGCUGAGAUUUAGCAAUUAAAUGAAGGCUUCUGGUCACUUGGCCUGCAGAGUUAAGGAGCUAGGGAUGUUGUUUAGCAACAAUUAUUAAAUUUAAGGAAUAUCUGCAUUACACCCACAAGGCUGUGAGCACUGGCAUCUGGGUGAAUUGGGCUGGUUUAUUCUACUCCUUGUGUUAUUUAUCAGCUGAAGCAUUUAUGAGAGCAAAUGCAGCUGGUGGCAUUUGGGCUGUGGAAAUUAUAGUUUGUAAUAUUCUUCUAACAGUAAUUUGAGAGUUUAAAGAAUUCUGUAACUAAUAUUUCAGUCAUGCACUGAAAACCUUCAAGUUUAAGGAAUUUUUUUUUUUUCGCACUGCCUUUAUCAAAGAGCCAAAAAUUCUAUAGGAUCCCUCUGAAUCACUAACCAUGGCUGCAGCAGCAUACCUUGUGAAAUAGAUCAGUGGUCCAGUCUGCUUUGACAACUCCUAUGUAACCAAAUAUAGGAGAAAGAGAAGACAAAAUUUGUAGGGCUGGUAGUGUCUUGUAUUUUUCAAUAAUUUAUCAAGAUUCGAGAGCACAGAUUUCCUUUGGGAAAUAUUAGUUCUAAGGUUUACAAAGUGCCUCAGUUGUAAAUACCCAUAAAAAUGACAAUUUGGUAGGUCAUAUUUAUUCUUAAGCGGGUCAAAGGACAUUAGCGUAUUCCUACUGCAUAAAUCUGUCAAGUACAGAAUUUCUUUAUGCUCCCAAAUCACAAAAGCACCUCUUACAGUCAAGGAGAAAGCAUCACAUUAUUGCCAAUCAAGGACAACAAGCAAGAAUAUUGAUCUCUACCCAAUAACUUUUGCCCUGCUCACUAAGUUUUUAUUACUGAAACUGGACACAUCAAGGGAUUGGAUUUAAUAUAUACAUAUAGUGCUGAUUUAUUACAGAGGAGAAAUAUGCUCUGGCCUUACUUCUGGCUCAAUAUUUUAAGACUUAUUUUAUUCUUUGCAUAGAAGCUUUUUCUACAGACAAAGUGUAAAAUUUCCAGCUAGCCCUGGGUAUGCACAAGAGGUACAUUGACUUAUGGGUGUACAAGCAUCCUGCCUUUGGUAGCCUUACAGUCAUGAGUCUUGAUUUUAGUAGUUUAUGUAUGUGAAAGUCUGUAUAGGAGGAUUGUUACUUCAGAGAGACAUCACUAAAGAUGACCUUGGGGAGGGAGGAGGGGAGAUUGAAGGGCACAAAAUGUCUGGGUGCAGUUUGCUGAGCCUGGUGUUGGCUUUGUGCUCAUCUGUGGAGCUGUGCAUGUAAAACCCUUUGUACAGGGACUGUUUGGCUGUCACAGGUAUUGGAAUGAAGCAGAGGGCCAGCAUCCUGCAUCUUGGGCUCCUGUUGGUGAAACUUCAUAUUUUGUGGUCAUUUUUGGUUGAUCACUGCAGAGGAUUUGGCCUGCUCCACAAAUACAUCAUCUUUGAACUCUGUCCACAGUGAUAGCCAUGGCUGAAGGCAGAGCUAGGAUCAAUCAGCUGCUUUUUAGAAAGGAAGUGCAUCUACAAAACUGAAGGGAGAGUUCUUCACCACAGCAUUACAGAACAGUGGACAUUGGAAGGAGCACCUAGUGUGACCCACAGCUCAAAGCACAGUGCACUCAGUGUUGCUCAGUGAACAGGUUGCUCAGGAUCUUGUCAGGUUUUGAAUGCCAGGAUGGUGUUUCCACAGCCUCUCUGGGUAACCUGCUCAGUAUUUCAGUGAUCAAAGAUAAGCUACUGAGUUAAAAAUACAGGCCAUGUAAGUCAGCAGGACCAGAUGUCUGUUGAUUUUGCAUCCUAGAGAGCAGCCAACUCCCUGUGCAGUUAUAAGCCCUGCUGGCUUUUUACCUGUCUAGGCAAAAGAUAGGAGUUUUGAUUGCUCUUUGGCUUUUCAAGAGCUGGUCAGCCCUUUCACAGAAUAAAUGCAUGAGGAGUAGCUGAUGGAUUUGCUGCUCAUGUUCAUAAUGCUGUGGAGAGACCUGGAGAGGCCAUACCCCACUCUCCAUCAUUUCCUGACAGAGCAGGCAGAGGGACACACGCUGAAUUUCUCCAGACAUGUCAUUCCCACACCAGACAAUUUGUCAAGAGGUUAUGUGCAAGGUUUAUGUGUUUGUCAGGAUUUCCAGAUGUCAAGUAAUCCCAGCACAGGAGCAAAUCCUACCGUGCCUGUAGAGCAAACCUGACACUCCAUGGAAGUGCCCUGCACGUGGUGUGCACACUCCCCCUGCAUCUGAUGUGGCUGGGGGUCCUGUGCCUGUGCCCUCCUGUGGAUUUCCACAAGCACAGCAAUUUGGAUGUGACCCAAACAUUUUGGAUUAACUCUGCAUGUUCACACCAUCUGUGCAGCACAUGUACCACUAGGCUGGUGGUGCUCUGAGGGUUGGACACAGUGCUUCUACCCCACAGCUCCUGGGGAUGCAUUUCAGUGUAAGAAGAGUUCAGAACAGGAUCAUUGCACAAUCAGAAAUCAUGCUUUUUACUGGGAACCUCUAGGAAGAAUUCUGUCAUAGGAAGAAGCUGAUUUUUUGGGUUCUUCAGUCUCCUGACUUGUAACAGGUAAUUGUGUAGUCAGCCAUACCCUGCCUUCAGGGGGCUUUCCUAUGGCACAGAUUUCAGAAGGAUCUCAGAAGGCUUUUGGUUUUGCAUCUGUAUGUCUUAACUAGAACAUAAUUUCUUCACCAACAAGAAUUCAAACCAGAAAGGAAAACAAAAAAUGUGGAGGUGAGAUGAAAAUAUGACCCAGGGUAUGUAUUGUCUACUUCAAGUUGUCAGGUGGAAAUGCUGACUUCUGCCAGCUGCCUUUAAAAACACCUCUCAGAAUCAAGCCUAGAAUGAGAAAGUGACAAUGACUUCCAUGUCACCUUUUCAGGUAAAUACAGAAAGCUGUAGUUGCCAGAGCAGUGAUGAAUCAUGAUUUUCUUCCAUCCAAAGAGCCUUGGGCUUUUUCCUCAUUCAAACAUUUAACUUACUUGCAAGGCUGACAGAAAAGCAGUAGAUUUUUUUUCCAAAUAUCCAUUUGCCUUUCCAUUUAUCUACUUUGAUCUAAAAUAUAGAACCUGAUAGAUGCCCUAGGUAAAUCAAACAUUUUCCGUCUGCCAAAACGGUUUUGCAAAUGCUUAUUUCAUGCCAUUACCAUUUUUCUGUUUCUAGCAGUAAAUCAAAAAGUAUCAGCCAUUCAUCCACUUUAAAAGUAAUGCCUUUCCUUAGCAUAAUUACACAUACCCAGUGGAGAUCUGUGUGCACAGUAAAUCUAUUCCUUUAAAAGGUUUCGCCUUAAGUACCACAGUGACAUAAAUUGGUGAAGCGCAAAUUUAUUUAUUUAAAAGGUUUAUUCUUUUAACUGAUAGAGUAACUGUUA